rnacentral:rRNA from 1 species
UACACGGCCCGUACCCCAAACCGACACAGGUGAUCAGGUAGAGAAUACCAAGGCGAUCGAGAGAACUGUGGUUAAGGAACUCGGCAAAAUGCCCCCGUAACUUCGGGAGAAGGGGGACCAUGCCCGGUGAACAUCUUCACGGUGGGAGCUGGGUGUGGUCGCAGAGACCAGAGAGAAGCGACUGUUUACUAAAAACACAGGUCCGUGCGAAGACGUAAGUCGAUGUAUACGGACUGACGCCUGCCCGGUGCUGGAAGGUUAAGAGGACCGGUUAGCCGUAAGGCGAAGCUGAGAAUUUAAGCCCCAGUAAACGGCGGUGGUAACUAUAACCAUCCUAAGGUAGCGAAAUUCCUUGUCGGGUAAGUUCCGACCUGCACGAAUGGCGUAACGACUUCUCUGCUGUCUCGACCACAGACUCGGCGAAAUUGCACUACGAGUAAAGAUGCUCGUUACGCGCGGCAGGACGAAAAGACCCCGGGACCUUUACUAUAGCUUGGUAUUGGCGUUCGAUUCGGUUUGUGUAGGAUAGGUGGGAGACUGUGAAGCAUGCACGCCAGUGUGUGUGGAGUCGUUGUUGAAAUACCACUCUGAUCGUAUUGGACGUCUAACCUCGGCCCAUGAUCUGGGUUAGGGACAGUGCCUGAUGGGUAGUUUAACUGGGGCGGUUGCCUCCUAAAGAGUAACGGAGGCGCCCAAAGGUUCCCUCAGCCUGGAUGGCAAUCAGGUGUUGAGUGCAAGUGCACAAGGGAGCUUGACUGUGAGACUGACACGUCGAGCAGGGACGAAAGUCGGGACUAGUGAUCCGGCACCGGCAAGUGGAAGCGGUGUCGCUCAACGGAUAAAAGGUACCCCGGGGAUAACAGGCUGAUCUUCCCCAAGAGUCCAUAUCGACGGGAUGGUUUGGCACCUCGAUGUCGGCUCGUCGCAUCCUGGGGCUGGAGUAGGUCCCAAGGGUUGGGCUGUUCGCCCAUUAAAGCGGCACGCGAGCUGGGUUUAGAACGUCGUGAGACAGUUCGGUCUCUAUCCGCCGCGCGCGUAAGAAACUCAGGAAGGCUGUCCCUAGUACGAGAGGACCGGGACGGACGAACCUCUGGUGUGCCAGUUGUUCCACCAGGAGCAUGGCUGGUUAGCUACGUUCGGAAGGGAUAACCGCUGAAAGCAUCUAAGCGGGAAGCCUGUUCCAAGAUGAGGUUUCUCACCACCUUGCGUGGUUAAGGCCCCCUACAGACCAUGGGGUUGAUAGGCCGGAACUGGAAGCGCAGCAAUGCGUGGAGGUGACCGGUACUAAUAGGCCGAGGGCUUACACA